rnacentral:piRNA from 1 species
UUUUUACAUUGUUCUGGGGUCUGGGG